CCAUUCCCAGCAAGAAUUAUACUAAUCGAGUUGUCAGGCAAAUAUUAGUAGUUCAAGGUCAUACAUGAUGCCAGUCCCCAGUGGGCUGAGGAUUAUACUACAUACACACAUCUAUUGACUUUGACCGCUCCUAGCAUUUUGUCGACCAAUCUUUUAGCGUUUCCUGCAAUCAUCCUGUUGCCCCCUCAUGUCUUAUCCUGGCUCUGCCAGGUGUCCUUUCCUGCCUCUUUAUCCCGCCUUGUGGCUGUUCCUUAUAUAUCUACCAAUUGGGCUAUGUGUGUACUGUCC